GAUGAACGCUGGCGGCGUGCUUAACACAUGCACGUCGAACGGAAAGGCCCUAGCUUGCUGGGGUACUCGAGUGGCGAACAUGUGAGUAACACGUGGGUGAUCUGCCCUGCACUUUGGGAUAAGCUUGGGAAACUGGGUCUAAUACCGACUAUGACCACUUCUUGGAUGGUGUGGGGGAAAGCUUUUGCGGUGUGGGAUGAGCCUGCGGCCUAUCAGCUUGUUGGUGGGGUAAUGGCCUACCAAGGCGGCGACGGGUAUCCGGCGUGAGAGGGUGUACGGACACAUUGGGACUGAGAUACGGCCCAGACUCCUACGGGAGGCAGCAGUGGGGAAUAUUGCACAAUGGGCGCAAGCCUGAUGCAGCGACGCCGCGUGGGGGAUGAAGGCCUUCGGGUUGUAAACUCCUUUCGCUAUCGACGAAGCCACUUGUGGUGACGGUAGGUAGAUAAGAAGCACCGGCUAACUACGUGCCAGCAGCCGCAGUAA
rnacentral:rRNA from 1 species